AACGAACGCUGGCGGCAGGCUUAACACAUGCAAGUCGAACGCCCCGCAAGGGGAGUGGCAGACGGGUGAGUAACGCGUGGGAACAUACCCUUUCCUGCGGAAUAGCUCUGGGAAACUGGAAUUAAUACCGCAUACGCACUACGGGGGAAAGAUUUAUCGGGGAAGGAUUGGCCCGCGUUGGAUUAGCUAGUUGGUGGGGUAAAGGCCUACCAAGGCGACGAUCCAUAGCUGGUCUGAGAGGAUGAUCAGCCACCUUGGGACUGAGACACGGCCCAAACUCCUACGGGAGGCAGCAGUGGGGAAUAUUUGACAAUGGGCGCAAGCCUGAUCCAGCCAUGCCGCGUGAGUGAUGAAGGCCUUAGGGUUGUAAAGCUCUUUCACCGAUGAAGAUAAUGACGGUAGUCGGAGAAGAAGCCCCGGCUAACUUCGUGCCAGCAGCCGCGGUAAGAC
rnacentral:rRNA from 1 species